GAUGAACGCUGGCGGCGUGCCUAAUACAUGCAAGUCGAGCGAACAGACGAGGAGCUUGCUCCUCUGACGUUAGCGGCGGACGGGUGAGUAACACGUGGAUAACCUACCUAUAAGACUGGGAUAACUUCGGGAAACCGGAGCUAAUACCGGAUAAUAUUUUGAACCGCAUGGUUCAAUAGUGAAAGACGGUUUUGCUGUCACUUAUAGAUGGAUCCGCGCCGCAUUAGCUAGUUGGUAAGGUAACGGCUUACCAAGGCAACGAUGCGUAGCUGACCUGAGAGGGUGAUCGGCCACACUGGAACUGAGACACGGUCCAGACUCCUACGGGAGGCAGCAGUAGGGAAUAUUCCGCAAUGGGCGAAAGCCUGACGGAGCAACGCCGCGUGAGUGAUGAAGGUCUUCGGAUCGUAAAACUCUGUUAUUAGGGAAGAAAAAAUGUGUAAGUAACUAUGCACGUCUUGACGGUACCUAAUCAGAAAGCCACGGCUAACUACGUG
rnacentral:rRNA from 1 species